rnacentral:rRNA from 1 species
GACGAACGCUGGCGGCGUGCUUAACACAUGCAAGUCGAACGGUAAGGCCCUUCGGGGUACACGAGUGGCGAACGGGUGAGUAACACGUGGGUGAUCUGCCCUGCACUUCGGGAUAAGCCUGGGAAACUGGGUCUAAUACCGGAUAGGACUCCUGCCUGCAUGGGUGGGGGUGGAAAGCUUUUGCGGUGUGGGAUGGGCCCGCGGCCUAUCAGCUUGUUGGUGGGGUGAUGGCCUACCAAGGCGACGACGGGUAGCCGGCCUGAGAGGGUGACCGGCCACACUGGGACUGAGAUACGGCCCAGACACCUACGGGAGGCAGCAGUGGGGAAUAUUGCACAAUGGGCGCAAGCCUGAUGCAGCGACGCCGCGUGAGGGAUGACGGCCUUCGGGUUGUAAACCUUUUUCAGCACAGACGAAGCGCAAGUGACGGUAUGUGCAGAAGAAGGACCGGCCAACUACGUGCCAGCCGCCGCGGUAA